UUAUYAUCUUCUUCAUAAUAAAUUAUUAUUAAUUAUAAUAUUACUUUUAAAUCCUCUUUCAUAAAUAAUUAAAAUUAUUUAAUUCUUAAUUAAUUUUUAAUGKAACUCAUUUUAACUUHAAUAUUGAUUMCCCUUGACCUAACUUUUUAUAUUUUAUUAAGAGUAAUAUUAUGAAAUUAAUUCUUAGAUGGCGGUAUAUAAAUUUUUAAUUAAAGUGAAAAUUAUCGUGGAUUAUCGAUUAAAAAACAAGUUCCUCUAAUAAGAUGAAAUGCCGCCAUAAUAAAUAGGAUAGAAUAUAUAUUUUUACUACC
rnacentral:rRNA from 1 species